UUUCAUGUAUAUAAAGCGCAGUAAACAGUACUACCACCGUCGAUCGAGGAUAACCAGAUCGAAGCUAGCGGCACUUAUGGGCAAUCUCCUUUUAGGUCUCUCAGUUAUUCUUUUCCUACUGACAAGUAGCGCGCGGUAGUCUAAACCAGAGCACUUUCCCGAGAGGAUUCGUUUUUGGCACGGCAUCAGCGUCUUAUUAGGUGCAGCAAAAGAAGGUGGUAAAGGACCAUCAACAUGGGACACUUUCACCCAUAGAUAUCCAGAUGAGGAGGAGGCUGAGCCUAAGGAGGCGGCUCCACCAGAGGAUUGAUUUGGAGUUGCUUAUAGUAUUGCAAAAUUAUUUUCCUUGCCUUUAUAUUUUGUAUUUUGGAUUUGUAACAAUGUUGAAACUUGUAAUAUUUUGAUACACUUGUUUUAAGCGAGUUGUAUUUAAAUAAAA